UAGGGAAUAUUGGGCAAUGGUCGGAAGACUGACCCAGCCAUGCCGCGUGCAGGAAGAAGGCGUUAUGCGUUGUAAACUGCUUUUGUCGUGGAAGAAAAAGGUAGUGCGCUAUCAAUUGACGGUACACGAUGAAUAAGCAUCGGCUAACUCCGUGCCAGCAGCCGCGGUAAUACGGAGGAUGCGAGCGUUGUCCGGAUUUAUUGGGUUUAAAGGGUGCGUAGGCGGUUGUCUAAGGCGGCGGUAAAAUUC
rnacentral:rRNA from 1 species